rnacentral:rRNA from 1 species
UACGGGGGGAGCAAGCGUUGUUCGGAUUUACUGGGCGUAAAGGGCGCGUAGGCGGCCACCGCAAGUCGACUGUGAAAUCUCCGGGACUUAACCCGGAACGGUCAGCCGAUACUGCGGGGCUAGAGGUGCAGAAGGGGCAACUGGGAAUUCUCGGUGUAGCGGUGAAAUGCGUAGAUAUCGAGAGGAACACCUGCGGCGAAGGCGGGUUGCUGGGCUGACACUGACGCUGAGGCGCGAAAGCUAGGGGAGCGAACGGG